ACGGGAGUAGCUCAAUGGAUAGAGCAGGGGUCUUCGAAACCCAAGGUUGGGGGUUCGAGCCCCUCCUCCCGUGCCA
rnacentral:tRNA from 1 species